AUUGAACGCUGGCGGCAGGCCUAACACAUGCAAGUCGAGCGAGCGGCGGACGGGUGAGUAUUGUCUGGGAAACUGCGUGUUGGAGGGGGAUAACAACUGGAAAAGGUAUCUAAUACCGCACACCAUCAGAUGUGCCCCGAUGGGGUUGGCUAGUAGGUGGGGUAACGGCUCACCUAGGCGACGAUCCCUAGCUGGUCUGAGAGGAGGACCAGCCACACUGGAACUGAGACACGGUCCAGACUCCUACGGGAGGCAGCAGUGGGGAAUAUUGGACAAUGGGCGCAAGCCUGAUGCAGCCAUGCCGCGUGUGUGAAGAAGGCCUUCGGGUUGUAAAGGACUUUCAGCGGGGAGGCGUUACCCGCAGAAGAAGCACCGGCUAACUCCGUGCCAGCAGCCGCGGUAAUUC
rnacentral:rRNA from 1 species